rnacentral:rRNA from 1 species
AGCGGCGGACGGGUGAGUAAUGUCUGGGAAACUGCCUGAUGGAGGGGGAUAACUGCUGGAAACGGUAGCUAAUACCGCAUAACGUCGCAAGACCAAAGAGGUUCGUCUUGCCAUCAGAUGUGCCCAGAUGGGAUUAGCUAGUAGGUGGGGUAAUGGCUCACCUAGGCGACGAUCCCUAGCUGGUCUGAGAGGAUGACCAGCCACACUGGAACUGAGACACGGUCCAGACUCCUACGGGAGGCAGCAGUGGGGAAUAUUGCACAAU